AGCAUAUCAAUAAGCGGAGGAAAAGAAACCAACAGGGAUUGCCCUAGUAACGGCGAGUGAAGCGGCAACAGCUCAAAUUUGAAAUCUGGCCCUCGUGGUCCGAGUUGUAAUUUGUAGAGGAUGCUUUUGGUGCGGUGCCUUCCGAGUUCCCUGGAACGGGACGCCAUAGAGGGUGAGAGCCCCGUCUGGUUGGACACCAAUCCUCUGUAAAGCUCCUUCGACGAGUCGAGUAGUUUGGGAAUGCUGCUCUAAAUGGGAGGUAAAUGUCUUCUAAAGCUAAAUACCGGCCAGAGACCGAUAGCGCACAAGUAGAGUGAUCGAAAGAUGAAAAGCACUUUGAAAAGAGGGUUAAAUAGUACGUGAAAUUGUUGAAAGGGAAGCGUUUGUGACCAGACUUGGGCUUGGUUAAUCAUCCAGCGUUCUCGCUGGUGCACUUUGCCAGCCCAGGCCAGCAUCAGUUCGCUGCGGGGGAUAAAAGCUUCGGGAACGUGGCUCUUCGGAGUGUUAUAGCCCGCUGCAUAAUACCCUGUGGCGGACUGAGGUUCGCGCAUCUGCAAGGAUGCUGGCGUAAUGGUCAUCAACGACCCGUCUUGAAACACGGACCAAGGAGUCGUCUUCGUAUGCGAGUGUUCGGGUGUCAAACCCCUACGCGUAAUGAAAGUGAACGGAGGUGGGAGCCUCGGCGCACCAUCGACCGAUCCUGAAGUUUACGGAUGGAUUUGAGUAAGAGCAUACGGGGCCGGACCCGAAAGAAGGUGAACUAUGCCUGUAUAGGGUGAAGCCAGAGGAAACUCUGGUGGAGGCUCGCAGCGGUUCUGACGUGCAAAUCGAUCGUCAAAUAUGGGCAUGGGGGCGAAAGACUAAU
rnacentral:rRNA from 1 species